rnacentral:pre_miRNA from 1 species
CUGCUACUCCCUCCGUCCCAUAUUAAGUGAUGAACAUGUAUCUAGACGUUUUUUAGGUAUAUAUACAUUCAUAUUUGAACAAAUUUGGGUCACUUAAUAUGGGACGGAGGAAGUACUUA